AUCCAGCUGAUGAGUCACAAAUAGGACAAUAUGCGCUUCCUGGAU
rnacentral:hammerhead_ribozyme from 1 species